rnacentral:rRNA from 1 species
UACGUAGGGGGCAAGCGGUUGUCCGGAAUCAUUGGGCGUAAAGCGCGUGGUAGGCGGUCCGGUAAGUCCGCUGUGAAAGUCCAGGGCUCAACCCUGGGAUGACCGGUGGACGUACGUGUCGGGCUAGAGUACGGAAGAGGCGAGUGGAAUUCCUGGGUGUAGCAGUGGAAUGCGCAGAUAUCAGGAGGAACACCGAUAGCGAAGGCAGCUCGCUGGGACGGUACUGACGCUG